rnacentral:rRNA from 1 species
UGGCGAACGGGUGAGUAACACGUGAGUAACCUGCCCUUAACUCUGGGAUAAGCCUGGGAAACUGGGUCUAAUACCGGAUAGGAGCGUCCACCGCAUGGUGGGUGUUGGAAAGAUUUAUCGGUUUUGGAUGGACUCGCGGCCUAUCAGCUUGUUGGUGAGGUAAUGGCUCACCAAGGCGACGACGGGUAGCCGGCCUGAGAGGGUGACCGGCCACACUGGGACUGAGACACGGCCCAGACUCCUACGGGAGGCAGCAGUGGGGAAUAUUGCACAAUGGGCGCAAGCCUGAUGCAGCGACGCCGCGUGAGGGAUGACGGCCUUCGGGUUGUAAACCUCUUUCAGUAGGGAAGAAGCGAAAGUGACGGUACCUGCAGAAGAAGCACCGGCUAACUACGUGCCAGCAGCCGCGGUAAUACGUAGGGUGCGAGCGUUAUCCGGAAUUAUUGGGCGUAAAGAGCUCGUAGGCGGUUUGUCGCGUCUGUCGUGAAAGUCCGGGGCUUAACCCCGGAUCUGCGGUGGGUACGGGCAGACUAGAGUGCAGUAGGGGAGACUGGAAUUCCUGGUGUAGCGGUGGAAUGCGCAGAUAUCAGGAGGAA